rnacentral:rRNA from 1 species
CUACGGGGGGCUGCAGUGGGGAAUAUUGCACAAUGGGCGCAAGCCUGAUGCAGCCAUGCCGCGUGUAUGAAGAAGGCCUUCGGGUUGUAAAGUACUUUCAGCGGGGAAGAAGGGAGUAAAGUUAAUACCUUUGCUCAUUGACGUUACCCGCAGAAGAAGCACCGGCUAACUCCGUGCCAGCAGCCGCGGUAAUACGGAGGGUGCAAUCGUUAAUCGGAAUUACUGGGCGUAAAGCGCACGCAGGCGGUUUGUUAAGUCAGAUGUGAAAUCCCCGGGCUCAACCUGGGAACUGCAUCUGAUACUGGCAAGCUUGAGUCUCGUAGAGGGGGGUAGAAUUCCAGGUGUAGCGGUGAAAUGCGUAGAGAUCUGGAGGAAUACCGGUGGCGAAGGCGGCCCCCUGGACGAAGACUGACGCUCAGGUGCGAAAGCGUGGGGAGCAAACAGGAUUAGAUACCCUGGUAGUC